rnacentral:rRNA from 1 species
AGAGUUUGAUCAUGGCUCAGAGCGAACGUUAGCGGCGGGCCUAACACAUGCAAGUCGAACGAGAAAAUCCCUUCGGGGGUGAGUACAGUGGCGCACGGGUGAGGAACGCGUAGGUAAUCUACCCUCUGGCGGGGGACAACACUCCGAAAGGAAUGCUAAUACCGCGUAAGACCACACUCACCACGGUGAGAGCGGUUAAAGGUGGCCUCUUCUUGAAAGCUACCACCAGAGGAUGAGCCUGCGUCCCAUCAGCUUGUUGGUAAGGUAAUGGCUUACCAAGGCUAAGACGGGUAGCUGGUCUGAGAGGAUGAUCAGCCACACUGGCACUGGAACACGGGCCAGACUCCUACGGGAGGUAGCAGUGAGGAAUAUUGGGCAAUGGGCGAAAGCCUGACCCAGCCACGUCGCGUGUGUGAUGAAGGCCUUCGGGUCGUAAAGCACUGUGGAGAGAGACGAAAAAUCUCCGUUCGAAUAGGGCGGAGACUUGACGGUACCUCUUUAGCAAGCACCGGCUAACUCUGUGCCAGCAGCCGCGGUAAUACAGAGGGUGCGAACGUUGCUCGGAUUUACUGGGCGUAAAGCGCGUGUAGGCGGACACGCAAGUCGGUUGUGAAAUCCCUGGGCUCAACCUAGGAACUGCAUCCGAAACUGCGUGUCUUGAGUAAUGGAGAGGGUGGCGGAAUUCCCGGUGUAGAGGUGAAAUUCGUAGAUAUCGGGAGGAACAUCAGUGGCGAAGGC